CGCCUUUCUUUCCUCUACCAGCAAAUUGUCAGAACACGGCCAAGGUGGAGCCAAAAUGGCGGUCCUGCCACCCCUUAUGAUGAUAUGCUGCUGAUCCAUUUUCAGACAGAUGUGACUUAACCCCUUUACAGGACUGACUGAUACAAUUAUAAUGUGUGUUUGCGUGUGCCUGGGGCUCCUCCGGAUGUGCCCGUGUGUUGAUGACCUCCUCGAUCCAGCUCCUGAAGCGACUGACUCGAGUGUAGAGCGCGGGAGAGGAGGGGUCGGCACAGCCGUAACCCCCAGCAACGACCCCGGUGAGGACCCAUCGGCCCGUCUCCCCCUGACACACCAGCCCGCCUCCAGAGUUGCCCUGACAGCUGUCGUCAUGGAGUAGGCUGGUGUCUGGAGGACUGCCAGCACACAGCGUGCCGUGGCUGGAGAAGCUGUCGCCAUAUCGCUUCUUACAUUGCCAUGAGGACAUCAGAGGGACCCAGGAUGCAAGAACGGAGUCUACAAGAGAGGAUGGACGAGAUGAUUAAAGGAGUGGCAUGUCACAGAUGCUGAAACAGUACACUAGAGGAAAAAACCCAUACCUGGUCCUGUCCAGCCAGCAGUGAUCAUUACAACACAGGAGGAUGGAGUGCUCCCCCCUGAUGUGUCUGCAUCGGGAAGGCAUGCUGCGUUGGUGUUGGGGUCAAAGGUCCCACAGUGACCCUUGGUGCUGGGUAGCUUCAACAAAGCCAGAUCGUGACCUCCGCUCUGACCUUUGAACUUCCUGUGAACCACCACCUGCUCCGGGGUCAGAGUCUGCUCUGAGGCCCCGACACGCACCACGUACCUGGACGGAUCGCUGCCAAACCUGCAGGAGGGAGGAGACGUACGUGAGGGAGUUGUACUCAACAGUGGUCCCACUAAAGAUGCCUGACCUGAUUCAUAGUUCAGCUACCUGCUAACACAGUAUGCAGACGUCAGGGCCCAGCAGGGGCUGAUCAGGGUGCCGCUACAGAGAGGACCGCCUUCUUCUUCUUCUUCAGACUGAAGCCACACUGACACCUGCCACGGCCACGUGGUCCUGACAGGGAAUGGAAAAGAUCUCAAUUAGUUCACCAGGACAAAGCCAUAGUUUUGGCCAUAUUGUACCAACAUCUCAGGUGCUGAAUCCUACCUGAGCAUGUUUUCCUCGCCCUGGUUCCUUUUCCUGUCCUCCUCCACCAGCUUCCUCAGCCCACAGCUCAGCUCUUGAGGCUUGGCCUGCACUGCUGACUCCCGCGGCGUGACGUCACACCUCACCCCUGCAUCCACCCUGCGCCUGCAGCCCUGGAUGCUCUGGCCCAGAGAGGGACACUCUCCCAGGAACUCCUCCUUGCCUGUACAUCUCACCUGGUCCAGGUGGAUGGGCCCUUUCCCCUGACCGAACCCUCCAGCUGCGACAGCUCCGCCACUGAAGAGAGGGAAGGGGGAGAAAAUGUGAUUCUUUGAGCAUUUUUGUUUUACAAGUGUUACUCUCCGUCUCUUCCAUGCAUAGAAAUAUUAACCUGUGUCCAAGCUGUCUGCACACCACGGCUGCAUUCAGGUUGUUCCAGCCUGAGUCACAAAUACUUCCCCAGUCACCAUGGAGAUACACCUCGACUCGACCCUCCUUUCUGCUGCUGCCACCCACUAGACGCACCAGGGGACCUGACAGGAAGAAAACACACGCUUCCAAUUCAUAUUCAUGUCAGUGCACCUACUCACUGAGAGCGAGUUAUAUGUCCAGUGACGGUGUUAAAUGUCAUCUGCAGCCUGGUGCCUCUUUAUUCAGCCUCUAUUCUCAUUCUAAUGGACUGUGUGUCUACAGGAGGUGCAGUAAACACGUCUUUAUUCUCUCUGCUGUCAACACGUGGCAUUUAAACUCACACUGAGGUAACGAUACAGCACUUGAUAAAUAGAUUAGGUAGAAACUUCUUGUAUUUAUCAUUGCUAUGAUUCAUUUUGUCUUAAAUUGAGUCUGAUGCAAUUUCUGCAAUAAAGUAACGCAAACAGCUCACAGCCUGGCACGACACCAUCGCUCUGCAGGGACACUUUUGCUACAAAAUUAAUUGCAGUUGCACAGUCACCAAUCUUCUGCAGUGCAGUGAAAUGAUCCUGUUGUUUUUGCUGGUUUCUUUCUGCCUUCCUUUGUUCUUUGUUUUGUAGCUACAACAGCUUACCAAAUUUGAAAAAAACUCACAAAAAAUUACACAGCGCUAUGGUGUGCUUUCAAAGUCGGGGCUAGUUCUAAUUGUGGCACAGCAAGGUUCAAUUUAUUUAUAUAGAGGUUAUUUCAAAGUGCUAUACAGAGACAUAAUGAAAUCUCUUAAAAAUGUACAACUCAGUAAAAUAUUGAGAAAACUGUUAAAUUAAUGAAGCUGUGAGAAAAUAGUUAAUUUA